rnacentral:rRNA from 1 species
UACGUAGGGUGCGAGCGUUGUCCGGAAUCAUUGGGCGUAAAGGGCUCGUAGGCGGUCUGUCGCGUCGGGAGUGAAAACUCAGGGCUUAACCCUGAGCCUGCUUCCGAUACGGGCAGACUAGAGGUAUGCAGGGGAGAACGGAAUUCCUGGUGUAGCGGUGGAAUGCGCAGAUAUCAGGAGGAACACCGGUGGCGAAGGCGGUUCUCUGGGCAUUACCUGACGCUGAGGAGCGAAAGUGUGGGGAGCGAACAGG